rnacentral:rRNA from 1 species
UACGUAGGGGGCAAGCGUUGUCCGGAUUUAUUGGGCGUAAAGAGCGUGUAGGCGGCUGGGUAGGUCCGUUGUGAAAACUCGAGGCUCAACCUCGAGACGCCGAUGGAAACCCUCCAGCUAGAGUCCGGAAGAGGAGAGUGGAAUUCCUGGUGUAGCGGUGAAAUGCGCAGAUAUCAGGAAGAACACCCGUGGCUAAGGCGGCUCUCUAGUACGGUACUGACGCUGAGGCGCGAAAGCGUGGGGAGCGAACAGG